CCCAGAUAAGCGCAACCAAGAACUGCGAGGAAAUCAUAAGAAUCUUCACAUCAGCUUUGGAGAAAUUGAUGAUGGACAUGAACCGUAAGGAAUCAACUGAAGUUCAUCAAAGUUGCUUUCCCAGGAUAUACCUAACAUACGUAUUUCAAAAGCUGUAUAUAAAGAUACAUAUGAUGAUUAGAUAAUGUCUGUGAUUUAUAUAUCAUCAUCAACUCUGUGCUUGUGUGAUGGAGGAGAUGGGUUAAGCAUGAAGAGUUUCCACUGCUUUGCACGUGAAACUUGCAUGGCUUCAAUAUGCACACAUAGUGUGACAUCCUGAAAUUCGAGUCCUCUAAGGAAUGAAUGGAUAUGAAUUUCGUCAAUGCAUUGUUGGUUGAUCUCACUCAGAAUUGAUCACUCCUAAGAUACUGACCUUGAGGGGAAAGGCUAAUGAGAACAUAACUUGUACGACUAAAGGACUCGACCUGGGAAAACGACUUGACCAUGAGACUUGCGUGAAGAUGAUCCUGUAGAUAGGCAGGCCAAUUCUAAGGACGACUAGAAGUCGAUUCGUGGACAGAACAUAAUGGAACGACGAGUGAUUCCGUUUACCAUUAUCGAACCCGCGAACGACCCUAUGUCGAUCCUCAGUGAUCGUGUACUUUGAAAUAAGAAUCUAUCCUCCGUAAUUUCAUGCAGUCAAGGAUGUCCAUGCGUCGAGAUGUUUUGAACGUGGUUUGGCACGAGUCGGUUACGCGUGAAUCCUCGGAGCCGCCGGUCAAUCUGAGUUGUAAUCGAAAUGGCAUUUGGCAAAAUUGACAUGGCAAGAGAACUUAGGAUUGGACUUUAAAUUAUGGGGAAUGUCCGGGACGGACUUUGGAUGAAGUUACAGCAACAGUCAACAGAGCCAGUGAAGCCGAACAAUUGAAAAAGGGAUUUUCGGACCGAGGAAGCAAACUCGUGAUGAAGUGGGCUGAGCCAAGCCAGUGUGGGCCUUAGGCCCAAGGUGGGACAGCCACCAUAAUAGGCCUAAGUCAAGCAAAUGAGCCCAUUGGGCCAAUCAAACUAUUCCUUCUUCUAAGCCCUUUAAUAAACCUUAAGCCCAUUUGAGCCCAAUCAAGCCCAACCAAUUCCCGAGCCCGUUCCCGUUCAUUUCUAAGCCCAUUUCUUAGGCCCGGCCUUCAUUUUCAGCCCAAGGACAGAAUGGUAAUUGUGCAAUGUGAAAUGACCAAAAUACCCCUAGUUGUAGGGAGAAAAAGGCUAGAGAAGAGAGAGAAGAUGAUGUCACCAUGCAUGGGAACUUGAAGCAGCCAUUUAAUGGCCUUAAUGAGGAGUACUUUCAGCCCUCACUUCACUCUCUCUCUCUCCCCCAUUCGGCCUCAAAAUCGGACGAGCUCCUCUCUCUCCUCGUUUUCUUCUUCUCCAGUUUCUGCUCCAGCUGACCCUUCGGUGAAGAAUUGAGUCAAAAGUGGUCUUCCCGGAUGAAUCAGACAACGAGCCACAUAUCACCAUGACCGGGAGAGAAGACCGUUCCAACGAGCCCAAUUUCGUCCCGAACGGAGCUUCCGACCGUCCUGUACGUCCAUCUCAAGAUGCCGGUCGCCGGACCGCCUGGUUCCGCCCUACUUCGCCUGUUUCGACUUUGCAGCCCGUUUUCUUCCAUUCCAGCCGUUCCUUUGCUCAUCCCAACCACCCACAAGAUCCCCAAGACCCCUGGGAGCCACCGGUUGCCGACAAACCCCUUGCCGGAGCUCCGGCCAAGCCGUUCAACUUGUUUUCUUCUCUGGCAGGGCUGUUUUUCAGAAGUUUCAGUGGGAGUCCGAGCUGUGGUUGCUGUGUUGAGCUUGGGACCACCUUGGAUCAUUGUGGUAGAGGUCCCGGAGCAUCGCCUCCGUCAUCACCGCCGCGUCGGUGCCUCCGGCCCGCUUAACGGGUGAGUUUAGCUCCUAAUCCUUCGAUUAGUGCCUAAACUUGCUUAGGGUUGGUUUAGUUAGAUUUAAUCCUAGUUUAAGUGAUUUAAUUAAGUUGCAUUAGCCCUAAGAUAGGUGGUUAGAUGGAUGGAUUAGAUUAGUCUAGCUUAAUCUUGCUUUAUUUGCUUAAUGUGGUUUAUGUGGUUAAUUAAGUAUGCUUGGCUUUAAUUAAUUGAUGGUUGCUUUAAUUAAUGUUUUUAAUGAUUUCUGAAUUUAAUUUAUAGUUUAUUAAAUUCUGGGAAUUUACUGUUUAUGCGACACUAUUCAUGAUUUACUGUUCACGAGCACUGUUCAUCCAGAGUGCGAAAAAUGUCUAAAAUUCACGUGUGCUGAUUUUAUGAAGUGAAUGGAUGUGUAAAUGCAUGGGCAUCUGCAUGAAUUGAGUGAUGACUUGUCUAAUUGUGUGAGUGAUUGUGAAAUAUAGGUAUUUUGAUUAGAAAAUACCGAGCGUCGGUUUACAACGCCAAAAAUGUGUAUAGUGGAUCCAUGGUAGGUUAUACAUCACCUCGGAGAAGGCACGUGGGCUCGGUGAUUAAGUAUGGCAUCUUGAAAGAGACACGUGGGCUCGGUAAUUUGAUGCAUUACCUCGGAGAAUGCACGUGGUCUCAAUGAGUACAUUUGGCAUCUUGAAAGAGACACGUGGGCUCGGUAAUUUGAUGCAUUACCUCGGAGAAUGCACGUGGUCUCAAUGAGUACAUUUGGCAUCUUAAAGAGACACGUGGGCUCGAUAACUUGAUGCAUCGCCUUGGAGAAUGCACGCGGGCUCACUGAUUCAGUAUGGCAUCUUAAAGAGACACGUGGGCUCGGUGACCUGAUGCAUCACCUUGGAGAAUGCACGUGGGCUCAAUGAAUAAGUAUGUCGUCUUGAAGAAUGCAUGUAGGCUCGACGACUAGAUAUUCCAUCACGAGAGAAAUGUACGGUAUCAAUUAAGCGACCGAGGCAAGGUCGAGUUGACAUGUAAUCGAUUGAGUCGAUUGAUCGAUAGCUCGAUCUGAAUUGAUGCAUUAUAUAUGCGUGAGUGAAUCACAUCGUUUAUGGCACACACGCAUAAAUCGAUAACGUGCAGAGUGUGGCAAUGACCAGGUGAGAUCGCUUGUGAUGCGACUCGUAUGUGAUUGAUGAAAUGUAUCAUCUAAUGGUCAUGUGCAUUGCGUGUAUCGUGCUGAAUUAUAACGUGCAGGGUAUGGCAUACCAGGUAAGGUUGUAUGCGAAUCGACUGUUGGUUGUUGCUUGUGGUGGGGUAGUUCUAGAUACAUACCCCGAGUUGAGUUGGUGUACUAACCGGGGCUUAGGGGUGGAACUCACUGAGAUUUAUAUCUCACUGGUUAUUGAAUAACCAUUUUCAGGUCCCUAGUGUGAAGAGCCAGGAGCUUGAAGCGGAAGGGUCAGGAGGAUAGGUGGCUCAGUAGUUCUUUAUGACAUAGACCUUCUGUAUAAGCUUGAAGUGUUUAUAAAAGUGUAUUUGAUUUGAAAUUGGUUGUCCUGCUUUUCUAACCCAUGUAUGUUAUUGUCAGGGGAUUAGUUAAUUUGCUUCCGCAUGUGCAAUAAAAUGAAAAGGGUCGGCGACGCGUCCUGGGAACGUCGCAAAUUUCUAUCGACCACCGAGGGAUGUGCGCGCGCUCGAGGUUCAGGGCGUGACACAUAGCUAAAAUACAAAGUGUAGUUUCCUUGAAGGCUCUCGGUUCCUUCAUGGAUCCUCCUCGUCAUAUAUUUCUUUAGGUUAUUCCACAUGAUAGAGAUACAACCACAACCGUAUCCCUAAAUUCUCAUCCUCUUCGUUUUGUCUCUAAACUGUAACACUUCUGGUCUCUGAGGCCUCGCCAAUCUCUGUCUCCCUCUCUCUCUCUCAACAGAAUAAUCUUAUAUUUUAGGUCAGUAACAUACAACCGCAAAGCCCAGAUCACCCAAUUCUUCGGAACCGAACCUCCGACCCUCCCAAAAAGGCAAAGGGAAAAGCUGUUCACUAAAAAAAUUCAAUUCCGGACUCACCUCGCUCUGGAAUAGCUGUGUCGGAGUGGGCGAGCUGCGAAAGAGAGGCGAUGGCGGCGAGUCUGGGCCCAACGACAAGAAGACGAGAGGUGCGUUCCUGCGGCGCACCAACAAGAGGCGAAUCGGCUAACGACGAUGGUGGCGACUGGCGAGGGUGCGGUGGAUAUAGGGUUGCUGGGCAAAG
rnacentral:lncRNA from 1 species